rfam:Dipodomys ordii contig_33072, whole genome shotgun sequence.
UGGCUCAGUGGUAGAGUGCUUGCCUUGCAUGCAAGAGGCCCUGGGUUCGAUUCCUCAG